UGAGUUUGAUCCUGGCUCAGAUUGAACGCUGGCGGCAUGCCUUACACAUGCAAGUCGAACGGCAGCACGGGUGCUUGCACCUGGUGGCGAGUGGCGAACGGGUGAGUAAUACAUCGGAACAUGUCCUGUAGUGGGGGAUAGCCCGGCGAAAGCCGGAUUAAUACCGCAUACGAUCUACGGAUGAAAGCGGGGGACCUUCGGGCCUCGCGCUAUAGGGUUGGCCGAUGGCUGAUUAGCUAGUUGGUGGGGUAAAGGCCUACCAAGGCGACGAUCAGUAGCUGGUCUGAGAGGACGACCAGCCACACUGGGACUGAGAUACGGCCCAGACUCCUACGGGAGGCAGCAGUGGGGAAUUUUGGACAAUGGGCGAAAGCCUGAUCCAGCAAUGCCGCGUGUGUGAAGAAGGCCUUCGGGUUGUAAAGCACUUUUGUCCGGAAAGAAAUCCUUGGCUCUAAUACAGUCGGGGGAUGACGGUACCGGAAGAAUAAGCACCGGCUAACUACGUGCCAGCAGCCGCGGUAAUACGUAGGGUGCGAGCGUUAAUCGGAAUUACUGGGCGUAAAGCGUGCGCAGGCGGUUUGCUAAGACCGAUGUGAAAUCCCCGGGCUCAACCUGGGAACUGCAUUGGUGACUGGCAGGCUAGAGUAUGGCAGAGGGGGGUAGAAUUCCACGUGUAGCAGUGAAAUGCGUAGAGAUGUGGAGGAAUACCGAUGGCGAAGGCAGCCCCCUGGGCCAAUACUGACGCUCAUGCACGAAAGCGUGGGGAGCAAACAGGAUUAGAUACCCUGGUAGUCCACGCCCUAAACGAUGUCAACUAGUUGUUGGGGAUUCAUUUCCUUAGUAACGUAGCUAACGCGUAAAGUUGACCGCCUGGGGAGUACGGUCGCAAGAUUAAAACUCAAAGGAAUUGACGGGGACCCGCACAAGCGGUGGAUGAUGUGGAUUAAUUCGAUGCAACGCGAAAAACCUUACCUACCCUUGACAUGGUCGGAAUCCUGCUGAGAGGCGGGAGUGCUCGAAAGAGAACCGGCGCACAGGUGCUGCAUGGCUGUCGUCAGCUCGUGUCGUGAGAUGUUGGGUUAAGUCCCGCAACGAGCGCAACCCUUGUCCUUAGUUGCUACGCAAGAGCACUCUAAGGAGACUGCCGGUGACAAACCGGAGGAAGGUGGGGAUGACGUCAAGUCCUCAUGGCCCUUAUGGGUAGGGCUUCACACGUCAUACAAUGGUCGGAACAGAGGGUUGCCAACCCGCGAGGGGGAGCUAAUCCCAGAAAACCGAUCGUAGUCCGGAUUGCACUCUGCAACUCGAGUGCAUGAAGCUGGAAUCGCUAGUAAUCGCGGAUCAGCAUGCCGCGGUGAAUACGUUCCCGGGUCUUGUACACACCGCCCGUCACACCAUGGGAGUGGGUUUUACCAGAAGUUGCUAGUCUAACCGCAAGGAGGACGGUCACCUCGGUAGGAUUCAUGACUGGGGUGAAGUCGUAACAAGGUUUUUUAGGG
rnacentral:rRNA from 1 species